UAUGGCGACCGGCGUACGGGUGAGUAACACGUAUCCAACCUGCCGAUGACUCGGGGAUAGCCUUUCGAAAGAAAGAUUAAUACCCGAUGGCAUAGUUCUUCCGCAUGGUAGAACUAUUAAAGAAUUUCGGUCAUCGAUGGGGAUGCGUUCCAUUAGGUUGUUGGCGGGGUAACGGCCCACCAAGCCUUCGAUGGAUAGGGGUUCUGAGAGGAAGGUCCCCCACAUUGGAACUGAGACACGGUCCAA
rnacentral:rRNA from 1 species